rnacentral:lncRNA from 1 species
UGCCUGACAACCAAUUAAAUCAUAACGGUAUCCUAUUAUAGUGUGGCUGCAGGGGUAGCCUAUUCUACAAUAAUGUAACUAUGUGCUAGUAUUAUUUAUUUAAUUUAUCAAUUAAAUUGUGAAUGGGUAUGCUACUUCAUUCAAUGAUUAUGGUAUUGUACAAGGUAGAUACAGGAGUAGCCAAUAGUCAACAAUAAUAACAUAAUUGAAUGUGCUAUAGUUAAACAAUAAGGCACGAGGGGGUGUGGUAUAUGGCCAAUAUACCAUGGCUAAGGGCUGUUCUUAUGCACGACGCAUCACAGAGUGCCUGGAUACAGCACUUAGCAGUGGUAUAUUGGCCAUAUAUCACAAACGCCCGAGGUGCCUUAUUGCUAUUAUAAACUGGUUACCAACAUAAUUAGGGCAUUAAAAAUACAUGUUUUAUUAUGCCUGUGGUAUACAGUCUGAUAUACCACGGCUGUCAGCCAGUCAGCAUUCAGGGCUUGAACCACCCAGUUUAUAAUAUAAUUUAUUUAAUUGAUGAAUGAAAUUGUAAGUGGAGAUGUGUUGGCUACUUCAUUCAGUGAAUACUGCAUGUCUUGCUAUCUCUGGGAGUAUGUUAAUGACAGCUUUUCAGCUGUUGAACUAUGGCAAUGUCGAACUAAUUUCUAAAUCUUUUUAUUUUAGUCAAGAAGAUGUGAUGAGCCAGAUCAACCAUUCAGCUUCAAUGCAGCUGUUCAACCCACCACUGCCACUGCUCUCCUUCCACAAUGUUGUUGCUCUCUCCAUGUCACCGGUGGAUGACACGUUUAUCUCGGGAUCAUUGGAUAUGACCAUACGACUCUGGGACCUGCACUCUCCCAACUGUCAGGGCUACAACAACAUUUCACUCGAGGCCUGCUGCUUCACCCCAGACUCAAAGUUUGUCAUGAUUGGCGUCUUGGCUUCCCAGUGUAGGAGACUGAUAAAGGAGUGGGGCCACAGAGAAAUUGUCAUCAUCAUUACCCAGCAUGCCUUUCUCCUUUCCUGUUGCUCUGAGUAUGCAAAUGCUUAA